rnacentral:rRNA from 1 species
AUUGAACGCUGGCGGCAGGCCUAACACAUGCAAGUCGAACGGUAACAGGAAACAGCUUGCUGUUUCGCUGACGAGUGGCGGACGGGUGAGUAAUGUCUGGGAAACUGCCUGAUGGAGGGGGAUAACUACUGGAAACGGUAGCUAAUACCGCAUAACGUCGCAAGACCAAAGAGGGGGACCUUCGGGCCUCUUGCCAUCGGAUGUGUCCGGAUGGGAUUGGCUUGUUGGUGGGGUAACGGCUCACCAAGGCGACGAUCCCUAGCUGGUCUGAGAGGAUGACCAGCCACACUGGAACUGAGACACGGUCCAGACUCCUACGGGAGGCAGCAGUGGGGAAUAUUGCACAAUGGGCGCAAGCCUGAUGCAGCCAUGCCGCGUGUAUGAAGAAGGCCUUCGGGUUGUAAAGUACUUUCAGCGGGGAGGAAGGGAGUAAAGUUAAUACCUUUACUCAUUGACGUUACCCGCAGAAGAAGCACCGGCUAACUCCGUGCCAGCAGCCGCCGUAA